UACGGGGGGGGCAAGCGUUGUUCGGAAUUACUGGGCGUAAAGGGCUCGUAGGCGGCCAACUAAGUCAGACGUGAAAUCCCUCGGCUUAACCGGGGAACUGCGUCUGAUACUGGAUGGCUUGAGUUUGGGAGAGGGAUGCGGAAUUCCAGGUGUAGCGGUGAAAUGCGUUGAUAUCGACCGGAACUCCGGUGGCGAAGGCGAGGCGCUGGACCCUUUCUGACGCUGAGGCGCGAAAGCCAGGGGAGCAAACGGG
rnacentral:rRNA from 1 species